GCCCUGCGCGCACCGCUGCGCACGGCACUUCCGGCGUGCGUGCCCCGCCACGUGACCGCGGAGGCGGAGCUGCGCGCACCACGUGAGCGGGACGGGCGCGCUCCCGGCCUGCCGCCGGCGGGAGCCCCGGGUCAGGGGUGCGGGCACCGCCGCCGCCGUUCGGCGUGUCCCGACGGCACAGGGACAAAGCUGAGCACCUUCUCGCUGGGGCCGGCCAGCAGCCGCAGCCGCAGGGGCUGCUCCUCAUCAGCCAGCUUCCUCAGGUACACUGCAACAGCGGUCACACAUUACAUGGGGGAUACCACUACGAGGACAUCAUCACCACGGGGACACAGCUGCAAUGGGCGACACUGCUCGUACGCAGAUGCUGCUCUCAUGAGGGUGCCGCUAUGGGGAUGUUCCACUAUGGGGAACACUGCUGUCACGGGGGACAUCUCAGCCACGGCAGCACUGCUCCCACAGCCACAAAGAACACCACCAUUCAAGGGGCUUACCACCGUUACAGGGAUAUUGCCACCACAAGGAUGCUGCUGUUUAGUGAAAGCUACCAUUAUAGGGCAUUACUACCAUGGGGUACACCACUGCCACAAAAAUGCUGUCACCAGGGGAACACUGCCACCAUGGGGACACCAUCACCGUGAGAAACACCACUACCACAAAGACGCUGCCACUACAGGGGUCACUAGUGCAAGCCAGAGAAGCUGCCACCAUGGGGAGACCACCACCCAAGAGAUGCUGGCACGACAGAAACAUGUCUGCCAGGGAGAACACCACUUCAAUGGGAUAUUGUCACCAUGGUUUGCCCAGGGGAAAUUACCACUGUGGGGACAUGACCACCAGUAUGGGCACAGGGUUGUCCCAAAGCACUACCUUGCUCAUCUUUCUCAGACCUCUCGAAGAGGGCGAACUUGCGGGGGUUGUCCACAA